UACAGAGGGUGCGAGCGUUGUUCGGAUUUACUGGGCGUAAAGGGCGCGUAGGCGGAUUUUUAAGUCAGGGGUGAAAUCCCAAGGCUCAACCUUGGAACUGCCUUUGAUACUGGGAAUCUUGAGUCCGGGAGAGGUGAGUGGAACUGCGAGUGUAGAGGUGAAAUUCGUAGAUAUUCGCAAGAACACCAGUGGCGAAGGCGGCUCACUGGCCCGGAACUGACGCUGAGGCGCGAAAGCGUGGGGAGCAAACAGG
rnacentral:rRNA from 1 species